GCCAACUUUCAAACUGGCUUCUGGACUCAUAGGAACAUAAGAAGCUGCCUUAUAUUGAGUCUUACAAUUGGUCCAAUGGGUAUAGCUGUCAACCUUCCCUUUUUUUGCGGGAAAUUCCCUUGUUCUAGCACCGUUUCCCGCUGCUUCCCGCUGCUAUCCUGGAUUGUUAGAUAUCCCAUAGACUGUCCCCGGGAAGGGUGAGGCUGAUGAUCCCUUAUUUUCGAGGCUGCUGAUUCCUUAUUUUCAAAUCUGAAAGUUGACAGCUAUGCCAAUGGGUGGUGACCAUUGGGACUGGUAGGUUAGGAGGCCAACAAUAAGGUAAAGGUAAAGGGACCCCUGACCAUUAGGUCCAGUCAUGACCGACUCUGGGGUUGCAGUGCUCAUCUCGCUUUAUUGGCCGAGGGAGCCGGUGUACAGCUUCCGGGUCAUGUGGCCAGCAUGACUAAGCUGCUUCUGGCGAACCAGAGCAGCAACGGAAACGCCGUUUACCUUCCUGCCGGAGUGGUACCUAUUUAUCUACUUGCACGUUGAUGUGCUUUCGAACUGCUAGGUUGGCAGGAGCUGGGACCGAGCAAUGGGAGCUCACCCCGUCAUGGGGAUUUGAAGCGCCGACCUUCUGAUCGGCAAGUCCUAGGCUCUGUGGUUUAACCCACAGCGCCACCCACGUCAACAAAGCAAAUGAAGAGCUUUCUGACUAAGCUGUUCGACAGUGGAAUGGACUCCCUCAGAAAGUGGUAGUGGAGGCUUUUAAGCAGAAUUUGGAUGGCCACGUGUCAGGGAUUAUUUAGCUGUGAUUCCUGCAUAGCAGGGAGUUGGACCCAAUAACCCUUUGGGUGGGUCCCUUCCAACUUUACAAUUCUAUGUUUUUCAUCCAAUGAGCUUAGGAAACCUGAUCCAGGGAGGCAUGUAAAUGGCAGUGGGGAGAGACAGCAGGAAAACAACCUCCAGCAUACAAUUAGCAUCAGCGAGGAGUAAUGGAAGCACAUGGCCUUUGCAUCAAUCAUCAGCGUUAGAAUUCUGCAGUGUCCUGGCCCUUUAGUCUCCAAAGUGCAUUGGAGACCAUUAGGCUAAUGAAGUAAUUAAUAGAGCCUUUACUGGAUCUGGGAGGAAAAUAAUGCUCCAAGGUGACCACAGUGCAAAACUUUGUUUCUUUUUUUUACAGGUGCAUGCACAGGCUUCCCCGGUUCUGCCCUCACAACAACCCUCUGAGGUAGGCUAGGCCACUUACAGUAUGCUUUGUUCUCGAGUGGAAACUGGGCACCUGCAUUUCUGCCUCUUUUAAAGCUCAGCGCUCUGUCUCCUUCACCAAUGAUCAGAAUGCAAGCAGAGCCCUGCUGGCUCAGAGCAAUGGCCGCCUAUUUAGUUGAGCAUCCUGUUCUCAAAGUGCCCAACCAGAUGCGCAAGAGAAACCCACAAGCCGGACCCAUGCGCAGGAGCAUGCUCUCCUCCCUUGGUUUCCAGCAACUGGCAUGGGCACCUCUAACUGUGGAGACAGAGCAUAGACAUCAUGGUUAGUAGGCACUGAUAGCUUGCUCCAUGAAUUUAUCACAUCCUCUUUUAAAGCUAUUUAGGUUAGUGGCCAUCAGGGGUAGCAACUUGAAUAAAAUAUUGAGGGGCCAAGUAAGCCCCACCCCCCCACCGCCUAAACGAUCACAUGAUGCAGUGCAUGCACCCCAUUUGAACUUUUUUUUGGGGGGUGGGGAGAUAUUCCCAACAACUGGUGUUCAGUGGAGAUAGUGGAGACAGAUCAUGAAUGUUAACUGGAAAGGGCCUGUGACCUCAGCUGCAAAUUAGCUAAGGCCUUCAUUUCCCCCUGUUGCCCUCCCCCAUUAUUCUGUAACACACUGUGGUCGGAGAAUUGGCUUCUCAAAUCCGAACUGGGUUUUUCCCGCUACCACCCAUCUUUUAAGAUGCUAUCACUUUCUGACCCUAGAGAGCCAGUUUGGUGUAGUGGUUAAGAGUGUCAGACUAGGAUCCUAGCCCCCCCUUGGCCAUGUUGCUCACUGAGUGAGCUUGGGCCAGUCACUGUCUCUCAGCAUAACCUACCUCACAGGGUCGUCGUGGACAUUAAGCAAGGAGGGGGAGAACCAUGUAUGCCUCUGUGAGCUCCUUGGAGAAAAUAAAAUGGAAUAUAAAUGCAAAAUAGAUAAAUAAUAUUCCCAACCUUCCAGGAAUAUCAUAUUUAAUUCUAUUCUGAUAUUUAUUAAUUCAGCAAUGGGAUCCGAUUGCAAAAGGGCCAUGAUCUCUGCUCAUUAAACCACAUCCCCCCAUGACUCUUCUCAAACUCACUGUUAGCAACAUCUAACGCUGUUCUUUCCCUCGUCGGCAGACAUAUUGAUUACCUUCCAAGAAGGAUCAGCAUUAAGAGCAUCUGCUUUUCACCUGUGUCUGAUCCCAUGUUUGAAAUCAGAGAGGGGAUUACUGAGAUGGCAACCACUGGAGACUCCUUGCCUCUUUCGACAUCUGCUAAUAGGCUUCAGUGGUGAGUCUGGCCUCCAUUGUCGUGUCACACGCAGAGAGGCAGACAGAGAUGACCUAAUCUCAUUGGUCUUAGACCCAGCAUGAUCCUAGUUUUAAAAGAAGUUCGGGGGGAAAUCCAAGCUCUUAUCCUUAUGUUUGUGGUCCCAAAGAGCUCUUUUAAAACUUGAACACCUGGAUGCAUUGUUCGCCAUAGGCUGGCUGGAUGCAGAGGAGUGGUGGGAGGCAUCAGCUGGGGAAAUCCCACCCCCCAGGAACCCCCAGGGGAAGAAAGCUCAAAGCCAGAGGAUUGGUGGUGGGACAACGAUGAGUAGUUGGAAGGAGAAGAAGGAGCAGACUGGGAGGAGGUGUCGGAAGCAGAAAAGGUUACAGGUUUGGUGAUGUCAGGCUUCGGGGAAUUGGCUUCCUCCCCGCUUCCUCCCCCAUGGCUGUGAAUGAGCAGAUCAAAUGAAAGGGAAUUCUUACCAGUUAGUUUCUCUAAUAAACACAGCGGAGGACAAAAGAAAGUGUCUGUCCAGAAUGGUGGUGCUCCCAAUUAAGGCUUACACCUCCUCUGUCCCUAUCAAUCUAUGUCACUAUGUCUUGUAAACUGAGCUUGUACCCUCUGUGCUUUCUGUCCUGAGACUUUCUGAGCUCUUCUCAACUUGGAGGAAUGCUGUCCAACGACUGUGAAUUUGUUAACCCUCUCUCUUCCAGCAUUUCUUCUCCUAGCUGUUCCCCAUCCAGUAUUUCCUAGCUUCUGCCUUCUGAACUAUGUCCCUCUGCAAACCAUUGUUCCAAAUCUAUACUGUCCUCCAGCUCCUGGGAAAAUGCAGGAGCAGGAGCAAGGAGAGGGGGUGGCUCCCACCAUUCCUCCUCUGUGCAGCCCCCCUCAGCACAGUCCCUGACAGGUGAGCAGGUAGAGGCUGUGGCAGAGGGCAGUUCAGACUCUGAGGCAGAAGCAGAGGCUGGAGCAGGGUGGGGCCAGGAGACAGAGAUGAGGCAGGCUGCUGAAGAAGCCAGGGAGUCUUCCCCUCCUGCUGCAACCAGCUCCCCUCCCCACAACCUGGUGUCCCAGAACAUGCAGAGAAAUGAAGAGGACAGUUUGCAACUGCUUGGGAAAACCCUGGAAAGGAGGAGUCUUAGAAAGUAUGGAGAAGGUGGGACCUUCAGUCCUCACAGCUGCCUUGUUGGAGCAAGACCUACUGGGAAGAGUUGUUGAGAUCACUAGGCCCAGACUGUUAUAGCUUCUUUGAAAAAAGAGUUAACUUUACUGACACCAUGGUUUUUUAUUUGUUAUAAUAAUUCUAAGGUCCCAAAUAUAAAAUAAACAUUCAUAAAUGUACAUGGCAAACACAUACAUAAGUGUAUAAACCACGUGUCUGAAAUAGAACAGGAGAGCAAUCCUGAAACCAUUUUGACACUUCCAAAUUGACCUCAAAUAUUUCGCUGAAGGAGGAAGGAAAUGAGAAAGCCUCUCUACUGUCUUUUGCUUACCUGUCUUAAGGGCAUAUUUGUGUAUGAAUAGGGUGAGUCUGUGAACCGGAUUCAGGAACUAAAGUAUUUACCAUCACACAAGAAUGGCCAGGCUGCCCAGGUAAAGCAAUCUGUGACCAUUGUCAGGUAUCUUGGCAAACAGGAUUUCUGCUGUAGACUGCCUACUGUGAUGUAUUUCUGCUGUAGACCGCCUCCUUCUGUGAUGUAUGUAUGAUGUUUUGGGGUGGUGGUCUUGAGCUACAGGGUGGGCAAUUUCAAAAGUCUAUAUUAGGGCCUGCACACUAUUGUUCAGGGUUCUCUCUCCCUCCUGCGUGUGGUGAGUGGGGACCCUGUUCCAACAGUUUAAUAAAGAUCAG